rnacentral:rRNA from 1 species
AUUGAACGCUGGCGGCAGGCCUAACACAUGCAAGUCGAACGAGUGGCGGACGGGUGAGUAAUGUCUGGGAAACUGCCUGAUGGAGGGGGAUAACUACUGGAAACGGUAGCUAAUACCGCAUACCAUCAGAUGUGCCCCGAUGGGAUUAGCUAGUUGGUGGGGUAACGGCUCACCAGGGCGACGAUCCCUAGCUGGUCUGAGAGGAUGACCAGCCAAACUGGAACUGAGACACGGUGCAGACGCCUACGGGAGGCAGCAGUGGGGAAGAGGGCACAAUUGGAGCAAGCCUGAUGCAGCCAUGCCGCGUGUAUGAAGAAGGCAUUCGGGUUGUAAAGUACUUUCAGCGGUGAGGCGUUACCUGCAGAAGAAGCACCGGCUAACUCCGUGCCAGCAGCCGCGGUAAUAC